ensembl:lncRNA
GGAAUUCUUACUGGUUGGUAGGUAAUCAAAUACUUAUGUCAUGCAAUAAAAUGCAUAUUAAUUACUUAAAAAUCACACAAUGUGAUUUUCUGGAUUUUUGUUUUAGAUUCCGUCUCUCACAGUUGAAGUGUACCACUGUAUUUGCCUCAAAGAUGUCAUACCAUAUCUAUGUAGGACAGCUGGUCUCCAACAAGUGGAUUGUGAGCUAGCAAUAGCUUACAGCCCACCUAUGAGUAUUCCACCAAUCAAUUCUGAAAGUACAUGCAUUUUUUUAUGUGUUCCAUCACAAACUGUCAUAAACAUAAAGCUCCCUGCUACUAAACAAGCAAAGCCACUUUGACAUUAUCCCUUUGCUGGUUUGCCACUAUUGCCUUCAAAACCAAACGUAAAACAAUACACAUUGCCUUGUCUCAUGCCCUUCGGCACACUUCUCACACCUAGGAACCUCCCUCCAACACACUGCUGCCACGUGCCCUUAAGCCUGACACCUGUAACAAUGUAAUGUAUUCGGCACAAAAGCUUGUAUGGGAUAACUUAUACAGUAUAUCCUAACAUCACUUUGUAGGGCAAACACUCAACAUCAAAACUCAAGAGAACAGACAUCGACUCUUCUGUUCCACCACUCACGCCACCCUGUCUCCGACGAGCAUCACAAACACUGUAAAUCUUCCCCUUUAGUUGGUCAACUUUCACAUGUUCUGCUACACCAGCAUUCACUCAAAUCAAAUGUAUUUAUAAAGCCCUUCUUACAUCAGCUGAUAUCUCAAAAUCACGUCAGUGACUCAACCCACUCAAGUGACGUACCCCACCUAGGGACAGCAUGGAAAAGCACCAGUAAGCCAGUGACUCAGCCCCUGUAAUAGGGUUAGAAGCAGAGAAUCCCAGUGGAGAAAGGGGAACUGGCCAAGCAGAGACAGCAAGGGCGGUUCUUUGCUCCAGUGCCUUUCCGUUCACCUUCACACUACUGGGCCAGAAUACACUCAAUCACAGGACUCACUGAAGAGAUGAGUCUUCAAUAAAGACAUAAAGGUUGAGACCGAGUCUGCAUCUCUCACAUUGUUAGGCAGACAAUUCCAUAAAAAUGGAGCUCUAUAGGAGAAAGCCCUGCCUCCAGCUGUUUGCUUCGAGAUUCUAGGGACAGUUAGGAGGCCUGCGUCUUGUGACUGUAGCGUGCGUGUAGGUAGGUACGGCAGGACCAAAUCGGAAAGAUAGGUAGGAGCAAGCCCAUGUAAUGCUUUGUAGGUUAACAGUAACACCUUGAAAUCAGCCCUUGCCUUAACAGGAAGCGUGUAUAGAGGCUAGCACUGGAGUAAUAUGAUCACAUUUUGGGGUUCUAGCCAAGAUUCUAGCAGCCGUGUUUAGCACUAACUGUCACGACUUCCACCGAAGGUGGUUCCUCUCCUUGUUCGGGGCGGUGCUCGGCGGUCGGCUUCGCCGGCCUACUAGCCAUCACCGAUCCAUUUUUCUUUUUCCUUUUGUUUUGUCUUUGGUUCAUUCACACCUGGUUUUCAUUUGCUUAAAUUUCUGUGUGUUUCUUUACCUAAAUUUCCCCGCUUAGGUUUGUGCGGGAUUAUUUUCAUGUUGCUUGUGGAGGCUUUCCUCAGUUUAUUCACAUGUGUUUAUUAUAGUGAGGAGCAUUCGUUUUUUCUCCUUCCAUGAGUAACUGUGAGUUCCCAUUGUCUUGGGCUUUUUUUGGUGAUUGUACCUGUACAGUUUUUUGGACUUGCCCAUUAAAAAAUGCUCUCU